AGCCGCGAGGUGGAGCAAAUCCCAAACACGGUCCCAGUUCAGAUUGCAGGCUGAAACCCGCCUGCAUGAAGACGGAAUUGCUAGUAAUCGCGGAUCAGCAUGCCGCGGUGAAUACGUUCCCGGGCCUUGUACACACCGCCCGUCACACCAUGAGAGUCGGUAACACCCGAAGCCUGUGAGCUAACCGUAAGGAGGCAGCAGUCGAAGGUGGGAUCGAUAAUUGGGGUGAAGUCGUAACAAGGUAUC
rnacentral:rRNA from 1 species